rnacentral:rRNA from 1 species
GAUGAACGCUAGCUACAGGCUUAACACAUGCAAGUCGCGGGGCAGCAUGGGGGUUGCUUGCAGUCCUCGAUGGCGAACGGCGCACGGGUGAGUAACGCGUAUCCAACCUGCCCUUCACAUCGCGUUAACCCGGCGAAAGUCGGACUAAUUCCGUACGCCGUCUAUAUACGGCGUCCGAUAUGGACGCGGGGGUUGGGGGUGGAGGCGGGGGUUGCGUGCGAUUUGCUGGACGGCUGGGUGACGGCGCACCGUGGCGACGAUCGGUAGGGGUUGGGAGGGGGAGGUCCCCGACACUGGAACUGAGACACGGGCCAGACUCCUACGGCAGGGAGCAGUGAGGAAGAUUGAUCAAUGGGCGUAAGCCUGAACCAGCCAAGUAUCGUGCAGGAUGACGGCGCUAUGGGUUGUAAACUGCUUUUAGGCGGGGAUAAAGUGGCCCGCGUGUGGGUUUUUGCAGGUACCGCAUGAAGAAGGACCGGCUAAUUCCGUG